GACAGAGGUGCCGAGCGUUAGGCGGAAUCACUGGGCUUAAAGCGUGUGUAGGCGGACUUCUAAGUACCUUGUGAAAUCCCCCGGCUCAACCCCGGAACUGCAUUGGAUACUGCCAUGCUUGAGCACUGGAGAGGAGACUGGAAUUUACGGUGUAGCAGUGAAAUGCGUAGAUAUCGUAAGGAAGACCAGUGGCGAAGGCGAGUCUCUGGACAGUUGCUGACACUGAGGCACGAAGGCUAGGGGAGCAAACGGG
rnacentral:rRNA from 1 species